GAUGAACGCUGGCGGCGUGCUUAACACAUGCAAGUCGAACGGUGAACGAGGGAGCCUGCUCCCUCCGGAUCAGUGGCGAACGGGUGAGUAACACGUGAGCAAUCUGCCCUGGACUCUGGGAUAAGCGUGGGAAACGACGUCUAAUACCGGAUACGAGGCGCGGGGGCCUCCCCAACGCCUGGAAAGAACUUCGGUCCAGGAUGAGCUCGCGUCCUAUCAGCUAGUUGGUUAGGUAACGGCUCACCAAGGCGACGACGGGUACCCGGCCUGGGAGGGUGACCGGCAACACUGGGACUGAGAAACGGCCCAGACUCCUACGGGAGGCAGCAGUGGGGAAUAUUGCACAAUGGGCGAAAGCCUGAUGCAGCAACGCCGCGUGAGGGAUGACGGCCUUCGGGUUGUAAACCUCUUUUAGCAAGGAAGAAGCGAAAGUGACGGUACUUGCAGAAAAAGCGCCGGCUAACUACGUGCCAGCAGCCGCCGUAACAC
rnacentral:rRNA from 1 species